rnacentral:tRNA from 1 species
GCAGAUGUGGCGAAAUUGGUAUACGCACAUCACUCAAAAUGAUGCGGGAAACCAUGUGGGUUCGAGUCCCACCAUCUGC